UUGAUCCUGCCAGUAGUCAUAUGCUUGUCUCAAAGAUGAAGCCAUACAUGUGUAAGUAUGAACUAAUUCAGACGGUGAAACUUCAAAUGGGUCAUUAAAUUUGUUAUAGUUUAUUUCAUGGUACCUACUACUCGGAUAACCGUAGUAAUUCUAGAGCUAAUACGUGCAACAAACCCCCACUUCCGGGAGGGACGCAUUUAUUAGAUAAAAGGUCGACACGGGCUCGUCCCGUUGCUUUGAUGAUUCAUUAUAACUCGACGGAUCGCACGUCCUCAGUUCCUGCGACGCAUCAUUCAAAUUUCAACCCUAUCAACUUUUGAUGGUAGGAUAGAGGCCUACCAUGGUGGUGACGGGUGACGGAGAUUUAGGGUUUGAUUCCGGAGAGGGAGCUUGAGAAAUGGCUACCACAUCCAAGGAAGGAAGCAAGCGCGCAAAUUACCGAAUCCUAACCCGGGGAGGUAGUGACAAUAAAUAACAAUAUCGGGCUCUUCCGAGUCUGGUAAUUGGAAUGAGUACAAUCUAAAUCCCUUAACGAGGAUCCAUUGGAGGGCAAGUGUGGUGCCAGCUGCCGCGGUAAUUCUAGAUCCAAUAGCGUAUAUUUAAGUUGUUACAGUUGAACCUCGGUGCACGGCGAGAGGUCCGCCUUCCGGUGUGAACCUUUCGUCACGCCCCUUUUGCCGACAUUACGCUUCUGGCCUUAACUGGCCGGGUCGUGCCUCCGGCGCUACUACUUUGAAGAAAUUAGAGUCCUCAAAACACACCUAAGCUCUGUAUACAUUAACAUGGGAUAACAUUAUAGGAUUCCGGUCCUAUUGUGUUGGCCUUCGGUAUCGGAGUAAUGAUUAACAAGCACAGUCGGGGGCAUUUGUAUUUCGUAGUAAGAGGUGAAAUUUUUGGAUUUAUGAAAGAAGAAAUACUGUAAAAGCAUUUGCCAAGGAUGUUUUCAUUAAUCAAGAACAAAAGUUGGGCGCUCGAAGACGAUCAAAUACCAUCCUAGUCUCAACCAUAAACGAUGCCGACCAGGGAUCGGCGGAUGUUGCUACAAGGACACUGCCGGUACCUUAUGAGAAAUCAAAGUUUUUGGGUUUCGGGGGGAGUAUGGUCGCAAGGCUAAAACUUAAAGGAAUUGACGGAAGGGCACCACCAGGAUUGGAGCCUACAACUUAAUUUGACUCAACACGGGGAAACUUACCAGGUCCAAACAUAGUAAGGAUUGACAGGUUGAGAGCUCUUUUGACAAGAUGCUGGUAAAUUCAUAGAUGUGAGAAAAAAGAUGCAUAUCCCUCCAAAGAGGCGUUCGGCAUAAACAAACGUUCAAAGCAAACGAAAGAGAAAACUAUGAACGUGCACGGUCCGGAGACGUUGCACUUACAAACCAGCAAACCAAAGGAAACUCAAAAAAUAGGCUACUCAGCCCAUCCGGCAUCAAAGGCGAGGACCAGAGUGGCCAGACAUACAUGCCCAUUAGGGCCCAAGGGUGACAAGUUGUGAGGCGCACUUGCCCAUACUGAGCAAUCUUGAGGCGGAGAGGCAAUUAUAAGCAGCUUGGCCCAUACGUGGCAACUUGAAGAGCGCUGGCAUAAUGCCCCACUUGGGCCAAUUGUGACAACACGGCCUAGAGACUUUGACAACAUUCUGGCAUGUACUUACAACAUAUGCCAUUUUUGACAACCAUGCAGCCCAUAUGUGACAACCUGGAGUGAUGGCAUUCAUGCCCAUCUGGGCCAAUCCGACAAG
rnacentral:rRNA from 1 species